ACCUGUCCACCAACCGACCCCCUUGUGCGCACCACCCGUCCACCCCCCUGCUGCGCACUGCCUCCUCUGCUUUCGCUGUUGCGUUGCCUCAUGCCUGGUUGCGCUAAGCUAAACAUCACACCGCGAAAGACCACCACCACCUUCCGCCGUCCGCCGGCCGCCUCCGGCCUGCCUACGCGAGCUCCUCCCGACAGCGACAACCCCCUCACCUGGACGCGGGAACACUGCCGUGGAGGGAGGAGGAGGAGAUGGAGUUCCUGUAUGAUUGUGGCGCCACUGCCGUCGUCGCGGAUGUGGCAGCCGCGCUCGCGAGCACCGGCGGUAUCCAGGCGUCCUCUCCCUCUAUCGUCGCCUCCGAGAGAGGUACCGGAGCGGCGAGCUGAAGAGGGUUCUUUCCGAGGCUGAAGCCUACGCCUUCAAGCUUUCUGGAAGAUGGCAUUAGGCAGUGUUCUUUCCGAUGGAGACAACUUCUGAUGCUACCUAGAUUGGCCGAUCUACUUUUUUUAUCAGCGACGCUACUAUCUAUUUCAUGAGGAUGCACUUGGCAGAACUGUAAGAUCGCAAUGUUCAGCCUGGCUUCUAUCUUUGAUCUGGUAUGUAAUAGUUUUUUCGUUGGUAUAAAACUGCAAGUUAUCCGAAUUGUGCUGCUAAAACAAAGUUCUUGAUAUAAGUUACCUAUAAUCA